rnacentral:RNase_P_RNA from 1 species
GGCUUGUCGCCGGUUCAUUCCCGCAAGGGAACGGACAGGAGGAAAGUCCGGGCAACACAGGGCAAUCCGCUACCUAACAGGUAGAAGUCAGUGAUGGCUAGCCAGUGUAGAAGAAAAUAACCGCAGACACAGUCUGUAAGGGUGAGAAGGUGAGGUAAGGGCUCACCAGGCGUAUGGUGACAUGCGUGCUGUACACACCGGAUGUUGAAAGUUCGCGUAUACCGGCGUUCCGCAAGGAAAAGAGUUGCCCGCUCGAGCUGGAGGGUAGAACGAUAGAGGCAGAUGGUGACAUCUGUCGUAGAUAAAUGACAGGCGGUUCCGCUCAGGCGGGAUGCACAGAACCCGGCUUAUAGAGCCACU